UGUUUACUACUUUGACUGUCUGUUUUCUGACAUGUCUAACAUUUUUAGGAGAAGAUUCUUCCAGGCAUUUAAUGCAAAGUUUGUGACCUGAAGCAUGAGGACUGAUAUCCAGCUUUGUAUAACAAUCAACGUUCUUAUCUUGGAUAGGAGGAACUGACGUGCAGAGAGACCGACUUGCCAGAGUUCACACAAUUAGUCUGUGGUGGAUCAGGAGUUGAACCCAGCUCUCCCACAGUCUAGGUUUACAUGCUAACCGCAGGACUAUCUUGCCUCUCAGUUAUCAGAAUCUAAAUACAGGUUACUGAGCUGAACUCACUUUGGGCU